GCCACCCUAGCUCAAUCGGUAGAGCAGCCGCUUCGUAAGCGGCCGGUUAUCGGUUCGAGUCCGAUGGGUGGCUCCA
rnacentral:tRNA from 1 species